ACCUCUGCUAUGCUGCCCUUGGUGGAGCUGUGCUUACUCCAGGAGCAGAGGACACUUCUGUUUGCUGUUCCAGAGUUCCUAGUUCAGGAACGGAUGCUGAGCUAAAGCUGAUGUCGAUAGACUACUGAUUGCCUGUUCAUAAACCAUGGAGAAGCUGUGGUGUUCAUCUUUAGAGAUUCGUGGGGUCUUCUCCUGGUGGUUUUCCAGUGCCUUGCUACCCUAAGCCAUCAGGAAGAACUAGAUGAGGAUUUAAACACGGAGAAGCCAAGAAAACUGUUUAAAGUCAACAGCUGACAAGGGAUGGUGUGAAAACUAAGCCCAGAUUGUGUGUAUCAUAACCAGGAACACUGCCUUGUAAAAUUAUUGUGAGAUAAAUAAAAUGUAGUGUGUGU